CCAACACUCCCUCACUCAGCUGCUGUAAGCAUCCCAGCAGCCAUCAACCCCCUUCAGCAACCACCAGACCACUUUCUUUCCUCCAUUUAGCUGCUGCAAGCAUUCCAGCGGCCAUCCCAACCAUUCCUCAGCUAUCACAACCAUUUCUUCUAUUUUCCUAUCAUUGAAAUCCUCCAUUUUCCUUAUAAAGCCUCACAAACCAUAACUCCAAGCUUUUCCUUCCUUCUCAUACCCUUCCAAGCUAUAAAUACCAUAGCUUUCAAGCCUCAAGCUUUUCCUUUUAUCCUCUCACCUCUAGAAAUCAUAAAUUUCUCUAGAAUCAUUGUCACAAACAUCAUACCCUUCAAAGUCUUAAGCUUUUCUUUCCUCAGCCAUGCUCUUUGAAACCCCAUUCAUUUGACUGCUGCCAAACAAUCAAACCACCAUAGCCAUAACUUCAAACAAUAAAUACUCAACACCCAAACUCAAGCAUAUCAAGCACCAACCCAAGCACGAGCAUUCUCAUUUGCUAAACUUGUGGGUCUUUAGCUCCCACACUCCAAGCUCUCAUGCCAAGCUCAUAUAAUCUCAUAUCAACAUCAGUAAGUCAUCUUCAACUCUUCGUCGAGCUGCCGGAAACAUCAGUACAAAACACGCAGUCGCUAGAAGAAGAACAAAGUACUCCCCAAGGACUUGCUUCUCCCUCAAGAUACUUUGGGCCUAGUUCUCGCUAACUCAGAAAAAGAGGCAACGAAGGCUUGAUUCACUACUCUAUGCCGAUUUAAGAAUAAAAAAAGCCUGGACGAGCCUUCCAACGGAAAAAGACCCAACAAUAUUAUUUCUUUUUCUUUGUACUUUUAUAUUAUUUCUUUUUCUUUGUGCUAUUAAAUGAGCAUGAUAAUAUAUAUUUUUUAAUUUAAAAACCUUAUAAUGCUUUAUGAAGUUCAUAAAAAGUUGAAUUAAACAAUAGAAAAAAGAAAAGAAGGGCAUAGUAAAGGGGGGAGGGGGAGAGAGAAAAGGAGCUGCAACACCCAAAGGCCCCAACUCUCCAAGCGAAACUUACCUCCCCAACUCCAAUCCAACCACCUCUAAGAUGUAUAAUAAAAGCCCUUGCAGCCUUACCACUCCACAAUGGUCCUUCUCACUUCUCCACCCACUGAGCAGCUCCUCCCCUUCUCGACUAGACUACGCCUCUCUUUUCAAGUUUUUUUUCUUUUUUUAAUGAUAUAUUUUAGAUUAAUUGAAUUUUUAGUGUAAUUUUAAUUUAAUUCAACUUUUUAUUGACUUCAAAAGGCUUUAUAGGUUUUCAAAAUAAAAUGGAAAAAAAUUAUUAUGUUCAUUUAGCAGCAAUUUUAAUGGAACGAACCAAAUUGACUAACGAUCUUAAAUACAAGGAUCAAAUUGGCCAAAUUGAAAACACAUGGACUAAAUUGGCCAACGUAAUAACACAUAGAACAUUUUGACAUUUAAAAGAAAUAAUAUAAAAGU
rnacentral:lncRNA from 1 species